AAUGCCACAUUGCGGUAAAAAAAAUGGUUUCUUGACAGAUUUCAAAAAAAUAAUUUCUAGUAUUAGGGAGCUGCUUUAAGUAGUUUAAAUCUGGAUUUUCUCAAUAGAAUACUCCUCAUCUCUGGCUAAAAGUGUCGAAACAAGCAAACAACCCGACUGUAGGCAGAACAGAGUUCCAUUUCAUUGGCUGGGAUGCAAUUUCACCUUCCACUCACUUGUCAUUCCACCUCCAAGAAGACAGACUAUCAUUCCUGAGGCAUGAAUAUUCUCAGGGACAAAGCCAUGCCUCAGUCGCAUGUGUGUGCAGAGGGAGAUGCACCUGUCUAUCCAAGGGUAGAGUUUUGAUCCCUGAACUAUUCAUUGACUACCCUUAUCUCUUCCUCACAGCUAACUGUAAUUCAUCAUUGUAAACAGUAAUGCUGGCUUCUCUCUCAGCUGUUUGUACUUGUAAAUCACUGCAUGACCAAAACAGCCCCACUGAAAAUCAGUUGGUUAAAUUUAAUGGUUCAGUUGGAUGAAUAUUCUUGAUGAAUGUAAUAUGUGCUGUCCUUCACAGAUGACGCCACUAAUGCAUUAGCCGUAGCACAUAUGUAUUUUUAACUUUUUUGACAAAAGUGAGGGAUUCACCCCUUUCUAUCCACAUACUCUUUCCUGUUUUCUUCUUUGAACAGUUGCAUGGAGGGUGGCUGAAUGCUGAGGUAAGAGAAGAAUCAGUAACCUAGGAAAUUACACUUGGUUUAAAUGAAGGACUCACAGCCCUGGCGUCCUGAAUGUAUUCUAAACCAGUGAAGCCAGCUUAGAUGGGUCAUAUAUAUGUUUGGAAAGGCUGACAAUGAUUUAGAAGCCGAAGUUUGGAUUUGGUUUGUGGAUGAGCCCUGGUCCUCUUACAGACCCGAGAAAUUCUGUUGUUUCCAUGUGCUGUUGAUAAGGAGGAAUGAGGAAAGAGAAUUUGGAGAUUCAGCACAAAACCAUUGCUACUACUGAAAAGAAUCCUUUAAAUAUGUCUUAGUAACAGAGGUCAGUAAUGUCAUCAAACAUGAAGGACACAUAUGUAAUGCUUUGUUCGUAGACAUAGAAAUGUGUAAUUGGUUAUGAUAAAUGUUUCUCACUUGAACCUAUGUGUAAGGGUUUUCUUGCUUUUAUUUUUUAAAGUCAGCAAAACUCAUUUUGUCUAUGUCAUCUGUAAGUCAUAAUCAGGACAAAGAUGAAAAGUUGAUCAGUUCAAUCAAAAUUAAGGUGACAUGGCAAUAUUGAUAGCUCGAAUGUGAAUGUUUCAAGUAUUGAACUCUUGUCCCUAUGGGAUAUUUAUUAAAUACACUUAAUAGGACUCUUGCAAAGUAGCCUUAAAAGUGUUGAUGAUUCUAUUACUAAAUAUGAACACAUACUAUUAUUAGAGCCAACUUUACUCACAUCUCAGAUACAGUACAUUUACAUUACUGUAGAGGAUGAAGCGCUAAUUUCUUAUUAGGUGUAUUUUUUUCUUAGAGAACCCUGAAAGCUGCCAGUUUUCUAUUAACCUUGAAUUAUUGAAAUUGUAUUUAUUUAAUUUUAUUGUUUUGACAAAAUUGCACCUUGUGACCAAAGGGCAAAGAUAUGGCUCAUUGCAUUAGGGAUUUAUGUGUUCAAAGAACUAAAUGUUUUCAUAUCCCUUCUUUAUACACUUGGAACAGUUGGUAGGAAGAGAGCCUGUUGGAAAAAUAUGAUUUUCAUAACUAUUUCUCUGCGUGUUUUUAUAUAAAUUAUGUUUUAGAACAGAACAAAAGUGACUUUCAGUUAGGAUAAUGAUAAGGGUGCUGGAAAUGCCCUGCUUUGCUUAUUUGUUUCUGUGGGGGAUUUACUACCAUGACUUAAAAAAUGGCUUCUGCUUCAUACGAAACUCCUAAAUAGCUAUUUUUGAAAUUGAAAUAUUUAAAUUUUGUAAAUCAGCUGUUGCCACUACACAACUUAGGAUGCCAUGCGCUUACAACAUUUUUAUAACAUUCCAUCAUCCCCAUUCCCUUGAAGUCAUGAUUUGCUAAUAAGGGAAGUUACAAAAAUACAGAAUGAAAAAUAAAAAUCUGGAUAUUGGUAGGAAAGGUUUGGGGAGGAAAACUGACCAGAAAUCAGUGUGCAUUGCAGAAUGCAGCCAAUAACUUUUGAUCCUCAGCCCCACUCCCACCCCUACCAGAGUGCUUACCAAAAAUAGUUCACUACUUAAAACUUAGAGUAAAUAUUUUUCUUCAUAUUGUUUUGGCUAUGCAAAUGUUUGUUUUGCUUAAUGUCCUCCCAUUUACACUUUCAGCAAAUGUAGUUGCAGACAAAUGCUUUUCUUUUUCUUUUUCCCUUGGUUUGGGGUAUGUAAAUAGCCUAAAAUGUACAUUGAAUUUCACAUUGUAAAAGUUUUAUUUUAUUCCUUGUAUUAUAUUAUGCAAAAUCCCUGUGUAUAUGAAAGUGCAUAAUAAAUAUAUUUGC
ensembl:lncRNA